rnacentral:sRNA from 1 species
CAGGAAGCUGCGGCAGAGUCGUUGAGCAACUUGCAUCUUAAGGAAGAGAAAAUCAAACCAGAUGCCAAUGGUGCUGUUGUCAAGACCAAUGCCAAUGCAGAGACGACAGAUGAAGAAGAGAAAGAGGACAGAGCUGCCCAGUCCUUACUCAACAAACUGAUCAGAAGCAACCUUGUUGAUAACACAAACCAAGUGGAAGUCCUGCAGCGGGAUCCAAACUCCCCUCUGUACUCGGUGAAGUCUUUUGAAGAGCUUCGGCUGAAACCACAGCUUCUCCAAGGAGUCUAUGCCAUGGGUUUCAAUCGUCCAUCCAAGAUACAAGAGAACGCAUUGCCAUUGAUGCUUGCUGAGCCGUAUGUGUCCUAUUACAACUCCAUUUCAUUUUAGAUUUUCCAUUUUUGAAAACUAUUAUUAUUUUCACAGGCCAGCAAGGUGGCUUGUGCCUAUAAUCCCAGCAACUUGAGAGGCAAGGCAGGAGGAUCGUUUCAGGCCAGGAGUUCAAGACCAGCCUGGGCAAUGUGGCAAGACCCUGUCUCAACAACAAAAAAAAACGUUAGAAACUUGGCCAGGCAUGGUGGCAUGCAGCUGUAGUCCCAGCUACUCAGGAGGCUGAGGCAGGAGGAUCACUUGAGCCCAGGAGUUUGAGGUUGCAGUGAACCAUGAUCAUACCAUUGUACUCCAUUCUGGGCAACAAAGCAAGACCCUGUC